rnacentral:tRNA from 1 species
GGGGGCAUAGCUCAGUUGGUAGAGCAUUUGUUUUGCACACAAAAGGUCAGCGGUUCGACUCCGCUUGUCUCCA